rnacentral:misc_RNA from 1 species
UAUUCUCAACCUUCAUAACUUUUGUUAUCGAAGGCUUGGAUUUGGAGGUUGUGCUGGCUCUCGUUAGUCGGCUCCUCUUAAAUGCAUUAGCGUGAACGUUUGCCGAUCGCUAUCAGUGUGAUAAUUAUCUGCGCUGUUAGUGUUGAAGCAUCAUUAGUGUCGCGCUUCUAACCGUCCUUCACAGGACAAUUUACUUUGAC